rnacentral:lncRNA from 1 species
AAGGAGAAGAAGCAGAGAUCCAAACUGAGGAAAUGAAGGGAAAAAGCUGCAACAAAAACCUGUGAGUUUCCCCUUCUCAUAUCCCUCCCCUUCCCCUCUAUGCAUGUUGAACCUCCCUACCUGCUGUUCUCUCAACCUCCUUGUGGAGAUCUUGUUACCAGCAAAAUAAAAUCCCCAGGCACUGCAGCCAACAAGCCCCCCUUUACUAUGUGUUAUGUAUGAACUCCUGUACCAUCUUUUGCAUAGUAUGUGCAAUUCUGGGGGUGAAAAGGACAGAAGAUUGAUGGACCAUAAAACCAGCAAAAACAUGUGGAACUAGGUGAAAACCUUCAUGUGCCAAUUUUUGCAUACUAUUUGCAACUAGAGAAGCCUUGAUGUAUCAACUAUACUAGCAAACAUGUGCAACUGUGACGGCUGUGGUUUCUGAAGUUUCUGGUUUGUAGCACUGCACUAGGUGCUUGGUCAGCUCCGUAGGCAGCGUCCCAGCUACGUUUGAAAGACCCCCCCCGAAUAGCCUCUCACACAAAUUUGCUCCUUGCAUUGGAGUCAGUUCUUUAUUCAACUUGACAAAUCUCCCUGGGGACGCCCUUAUCCUACCAGCCUGUGACGGGCAGUCUGGAUUCUCUCCUUCAUUCAUCUCAACUUCUGCUUUGACAUCCUGGGUAUAAAAAAAAGAACAGUUGAGUGAAAACUUGUGCAAGUAUAUAACUAACCAUGCCAACUAAAAAGGCUGGUGAUUCCCCUUCAUUUGAUAUUUAAAAAAAUACAACUAGAAAAUGAGAUACUGUUGGAUAAUGUUGAUGAUGCCAACUAAUGAGAUAUUCUUGUGCGACUAGAAAUGUUGGUGAUGCCAACUAAUGAGACAUUCUUGUGCAACUAGAGAGGCUGAGGAUGUCAACUACUUGGAUAAUGUUGUCCAACUAGAAUUGCAGACGGUGUCAACUAAAGAUAUACUCUUCUGCAACUAGAAAAUCUGAGGGUGCCAAAUCAUUAGAUACUGUUGGACAAUCCCUCAAAUUUUUUAAGAUGGGAUUAAUCUGAACUCUUGUGCAACUAGAGAGGCUGAGGAUGUCAACUACUUCGAUAAUGUUGUCCAACUAGAAUUGCUGAGGGUGCCAACUAAAUAGACACUCUUCUGCAACUAGAAAACCUGAGGGUGCCAACUCGUUAGAUACUGUUGGGCAAUCCUCAAUUUUUUUAGAUGUGACUAAUCUGAGUUCUUGUGCAACUAGAGAGGCUGAGGAUGUCAACUACUUGGAUAAUGUUGUCCAACUAGAAUUGCUGAGGG